AUUCACCCCUCAUACCGGAACUGUCUGGUAUCCUCAGCAAUAUCUGAGACAAACCCUAGGAACCUGAGAUCUAAAGUAUAUCUAUCACACCAAACAGAUCCAUAGAAAUGGACACGAUUCUGCUCUGAUAAUGGUCACAAUGUCCACCUCUGUGCCCUGCAGUCUUCAGGUUGAACUUACUGAUUGGAGUUGUGAUCAUCAGCUGAUGGGCCGGCGAGAGAGAAGCACCCAGACACAAAGGAACCCAUUGGAACAUGUGUAACUCUGUCCCUCUGUGCUUGGCUGAGUGAAGUCAGUAAUGUUGACUCUUGUACAGUCUGCAACCACUGGACUUCCUGCACAGUCUCAGGACCUCUGUGUUCAUCUCUCACCUCUACAGAAGGAGGUUUUAAUGGGGAAGAAAUUCUACAACUCUGCUCAUUGAUCGCUUUAAAAUUGAUAGAAAUAUGCUUAGUAAUGAUUUGGUCAAUAUUUCCUCAGAUCAAUAAUAAUAACAACACACACCACCACCACCAGCAGGGACAACAACCACUCUACACUCAGAACUUGGUUUCUUGAAAAGAGACCAACUAAGCCUUCUGCCCUCAUAGACACAGCAUGCAAGAAAACAGAUAGGAAGAAAGAAUAUUAAUAUAAAAUACCAGGCACUAGGAGUCAGGUGACUGCAAUCUGAGGAACAGUCUGUCACUGGAAGGUCAGGUGGCUUUGGAUAAUUCCCGAGGUGGGACACAGGGACUCUAAUACAAAAUAAAGUUAUCUGAGGCCCCUUUGGCUGUCCGGUGCCAACACAGUGCCUCUGGUAGUGCGAAUUCUCCAAAGCACCAAAGAAAACAGAAGGGCUACAGAAAAAUACCAAAGUUUUCUAGUUCUUUAAAACUUCUUAAUUAUUAAACCUGUCACCUCCUUUUUUUAAACCCUAAAUGUAUAUCAUAAAACAUAUACAUACAUCAUAAAAUAAAACUUUCUUCACUUAUAACUACUUACUGGCUUAAAGAACCCAAAACCCCCAUGUGCCCUGUGCAGCUGUGCUAUGUCACGGGCAGUGCUGUGGAAGUGUGGAAGGACCACCAGUCAGAAACCCUGUAGGAGCCGCGGAACGUGGUGGUGCAAGCCUGUAAUCCCAGCACCGGGGAAGCUGAGGCAGGAGGAUAAUUGUGAGUUCGAGAUCGAUCUGGGCUACAAAGUAAAUUCAAGGCCAGUCUGAACUGCAUAGUGAGACCCUGUCUCAAACAUACAAAAAAGAAAGAAACCAGAAACCCUGUAGGAGGAGCCUAGGGCUGGGAAAGGAGCAGGGCGGGCUCAUCUCUAAGGUACUGCUCCUGUAGUACUAGAGUUGGGUCUUCUACUACUGUACACUCUCUAGUCUGAGCACACAAGAGAAGCAGCUAAGCGCCAGGGGCUAAAACCUUGUAUCUGCUCCAACAUUUUCUCCCUGUGACUAUGUCCACACUAAUGAGUGGCCCUAUGUCACUCAAAUGAUGACUACUUCUCAAACAGGCUGCACAAGCCAGACAUCUAAGGAGCCCUUAACCUCCUUCCUUCCUUCCUGUUCAGACUCACUGAGUAAGGCUCGCCUCUUCUCUUCCCUGACUCACCUUCCCCUGGGGCCAAAACCUUCUAGUGCCCCAACCUGUUUUGGCCUGUGAUAUAAACAACUUCCACACCCCACACACAGAAAGUCGGGUCAGAACUACAAUGAAAUUAUUUACAAACCUAUCCUAUAGCAUUUUAUUACAAUUGGCAGUCACCAGGGAUGAGGAAGGCAAAGGACUAAUGUGGCACACUCUAAUGCAGAGUGUCCCAGAGUCAGUGGUGUCCCCAGCAGGGACCCCUCCCUUCAGGGCCACCCUCCACUUGCAGACACACCCCUCUCAGAGGUGCAGAAAUCAACUGCGACCUGCCAGCCAACCAGCUCAGAUCCAAACAUCGGCUCAGGCUCCCCUGACUUUAUUCCAAGCACUGUGCUCUCUGCUUUCAACUGUACAGCAACCCUUUAAAUUCCCCUGCCAUGCAGCACACGGGGUAGCAUCAUUUCCAUUUUCCAAAUGAGCAAAUCACAUUCCUGACAGAAUAAGUGGCUUGCUCAAGUAAUUCAGACCAAAGUAUUGUGCUUUUGAGACCCUAUGUUCUUUGCAUUAUCUCACCGUGACCCAGGGAGACAACUAGCAACCAAAACCCACUGCACAUGGAAAUGCAGGCCUUCAGUGUUAUAAUGUGUGUCUCUUAAAUUUGUUCAUCCAACUCAACUAGAGACCUAUACACUUGUUAUAAAAAAUGCAAACCCAGGGUGGACAGCUCAAAAAAAGAAUCAUUUGCUGGAAACCUGUAAUAUGAACACUGACUUUAAAAGAAAGAAAGCAUUUCCAUUAUUCAGGCAGCUUUAAAAUAGUUUAUCCCCAAGUGACCUUUCUUUCACCACACACACACUCAGGGAAAAUAUAACAAACUAAAUUUGUAAAGCUUACAAAGUUACAAAGUUUAGCAUCCUCUGCUCCUGAUGGAGAUGCUAAAUGACAGGCAGAUGACCUAAAGAUGACAGGUGAGAAAAAAAUGAAACACUACAUAAUCCACAACACGUGAGGAAUUACUAAAUGACAGGUAUGGCGUGCCUCUGACCCAGGUGAUUGUCACUUUAUCUCCCAGAGCGACUUAAAUCUUAGAGAAAGAAGUGUGUGAAGUCUUGCCAAGGUGUGGGCUUUAUCAGGUAUUCAUAUCAGAUCCUUCCCCUCAGUCUUGGGAACAAGAAGACACUCAGACAGACACACCCUCAGGGAAAAGGCUGGAAAAGAACUGCUGGCCUUUGAAUGCAACACCCUCAGACUGUAACAAAGGAGUCUCUGAACUAAUCAAAUAACUUGUUCAUCAACCAGUGUCAGUACCAGAAUUAAGUUCUUUUAACAGAAUACACCAGUGCCAUCAGCGCUGCAUCGCUGGAACUUACAACUACUUAUCACCCACAAGGGGGUGUUCAGUAUCCAUUCACAUAUGGCAAGCCAGUAAAUACUAUACAGCACAGAAUGCUUACAGCUUGCCGCUUUGGCAAACCACUGAGGCAAACUGCCUGCCUUUAAAGCCCAAGAGACUUCUUACUUACAUCAUUUGUUUAUAUCCACAGAAACUGGCCAAGUGAUAAAUCUAUUCCACACUCAAAUUUCCCAAAAACAACGUUACAAAAACCAUCACCGCGUAAGAAUGGUAGUCGUACCUUCC